rnacentral:rRNA from 1 species
AGCUUGCUGUUUCGCUGACGAGUGGCGGACGGGUGAGUAAUGUCUGGGAAACUGCCUGAUGGAGGGGGAUAACUACUGGAAACGGUAGCUAAUACCGCAUAACGUCGCAAGACCAAAGAGGGGGACCUUCGGGCCUCUUGCCAUCGGAUGUGCCCAGAUGGGAUUAGCUAGUAGGUGGGGUAACGGCUCACCUAGGCGACGAUCCCUAGCUGGUCUGAGAGGAUGACCAGCCACACUGGAACUGAGACACGGUCCAGACUCCUACGGGAGGCAGCAGUGGGGAAUAUUGCACAAUGGGCGCAAGCCUGAUGCAGCCAUGCCGCGUGUAUGAAGAAGGCCUUCGGGUUGUAAAGUACUUUCAGCGGGGAGGAAGGGAGUAAAGUUAAUACCUUUGCUCAUUGACGUUACCCGCAGAAGAAGCACCGGCUAACUCCGUGCCAGCAGCCGCGGUAAUACGGAGGGUGCAAGCGUUAAUCGGAAUUACUGGGCGUAAAGCGCACGCAGGCGGUUUGUUAAGUCAGAUGUGAAAUCCCCGGGCUCAACCUGGGAACUGCAUCUGAUACUGGCAAGCUUGAGUCUCGUAGAGGGGGGUAGAAUUCCAGGUGUAGCGGUGAAAUGCGUAGAGAUCUGGAGGAAUACCGGUGGCGAAGGCGGCCCCCUGGACGAAGACUGACGCUCANGUGCGAAAGCGUGGGGGAGCAAACAGGAUUAGAUACCCUGGUAGUCCACGCCGUAAACGAUGUCGACUUGGAGGUUGUGCCCUUGAGGCGUGGCUUCCGGAGCUAACGCGUUAAGUCGACCGCCUGGGAGUACGGUCCGCAAGUUAAUACUCAAAUGAAUGACCGGGGCC